GAAAAAGCUGCUUUUAAAAUCCCCGUGGCCCUCCCCGACCCCCCGGCUCCUCAUCCCCCUCCUCUCUGCCGCCUCCCCGCCGCGGCUGCGGGAGCGGAGGGGGAGCGGGGCUGCCGCCCGCCGGGGAAGGCCGCGGCUGAGGAGACACCUGGGUUUCCCUGGCAACAGAAUGGCGAUAUCAGUCAUCCAAUGCUGUAGCAGCACUCUGAUCUGCAAGACUGAGAGAUUUUGAAAAGCAUCUCAUCUAGAAAUCAGACCUUUUGCAUAAAGGCUUUCAGAUGACACUUCAUCCUACAGCUGUGUCUUCAGGAAGGAGCUUCUGCAUGGGAAUGAAGGACCUACAACUUCCAACCAUCCCGGUGCAUCCAGAAGCUCUGCUCUGCUCCUUUCCCCUGGCUCCUGCUACAGCAGGGGCAUCACGCAAAGAGCACUAGCCUGGCUGUGGUGAGGGGAGCAGCUGGUGAGAGGAGGAAUUGGAGCUAUGGCAAGGCCACAAAACACAGAACAGGUGGAGGCAUGGUGUGUCAUACGUGGGAUGAGCAUCUAUGCUGCAGUAUGUGAUUCAUCAGAUACGCUCUUCUGCAUUUUUCCAAUAUCUAUCUCCUUCAACGUUUCUAGGCGGUAUCAUCAGGCUCCUUAGUGCAUUGCCUCAGACUUUGAGCAGGUGAAGAUAACUAAGCGACUACUUCAUGUCACCUCUUGUUUUGCACCUGGUAUUAUGUGCAAUGGUGUGUCACCGACGAGCAGACCUUGCAAUACAUCUGUCCUCUCAGGACAUGGCAGAGACUGGUUUUCUGGGGAGCAGGGCACAGAGCUAAGCUGAAGGAAUAAAUAUGGGAAUAGCUCCA
rnacentral:lncRNA from 1 species